rnacentral:rRNA from 1 species
CCGCGUGAGUGAUGAAGGUUUUCGGAUCGUAAAGCUCUGUUGUUAGGGAAGAACAAGUACCGUUCGAAUAGGGCGGUACCUUGACGGUACCUAACCAGAAAGCCACGGCUAACUACGUGCCAGCAGCCGCGGUAAUACGUAGGUGGCAAGCGUUGUCCGGAAUUAUUGGGCGUAAAGGGCUCGCAGGCGGUUCCUUAAGUCUGAUGUGAAAGCCCCCGGCUCAACCGGGGAGGGUCAUUGGAAACUGGGGAACUUGAGUGCAGAAGAGGAGAGUGGAAUUCCACGUGUAGCGGUGAAAUGCGUAGAGAUGUGGAGGAACACCAGUGGCGAAGGCGACUCUCUGGUCUGUAACUGACGCUGAGGAGCGAAAGCGUGGGGAGCGAACAGGAUUAGAUACCCUGGUAGUCCACGCCGUAAACGAUGAGUGCUAAGUGUUAGGGGGUUUCCGCCCCUUAGUGCUGCAGCUAACGCAUUAAGCACUCCGCCGGGGGAGAUUCCCC